AUAAGACAUAUCGAUAAGUUUGACUUCAUAUACAUAUAUAUAAAAAAGCGUUUGGGACUAAUUUUUUCUAUUCUUAUAAAUAUUAUUCACAUCAAGAACUGUCUCCGUAUAUUUAUUUUUAUAAUUACACCAAGAGACGAUAUCUCCUCACAGAAAUUGUACAAGUGACCAUCUCUUAGCGGGUUGUGCUCGAGAAGGACAAUGCUCAUCGAAGCAACACCGAGUGUUUCGUGGCUCUAUACUCGUCUUGCUGUGAUAAGAGAAUCCCAUCAGUCCAGCUUCAUGCGUCUUCAGCAACGAACUGGUGUGGCUCCUCCUCUUCCUCGUCCCCCCUCUCCACCUAUAUUAGUUUCGCUCGGAGAAUCAGUGACGUCUGUUGCCCUCGCCAGCCUUCUCAAUUUCUUCUUCCUCUCCAGUUUGACUCCGAUUGCAAGAUGAAGGAUCGCAUCAGGAUGUCCAUAAAAAGUGACAGGUCUGGGUGAAGAUAAGUCUACUCUAAGCUGAUAGGAAUGGCUGGCACGAGUGAUGUCAACUGAUGAAGAGAUUCGUGGAAUGUCGCACCGCUGUGAUUGGUGUCCCUCGUUAUCAAGACACCUACCAGUGCAGCCGAGCGUCCAGCGAGGACAACAAAAAACGAGCAGCUGACAAGCGGACACCAUGUAGAGUGCGAGCCCGAUGCUGAUCUCUAGUAUCGUUUGUUACUUUUUUUUUUUUCCUUUGUGCUGAGGUACCAAGGGCAUGUUGGUGUAGAUUCUCAAAAAAAAAAAAAAAAGCAAACAAACAAAUGAACUUAUUUUUGUGAUGAAAUCUCGCUGUUACGAGACCAAUACGAGUAUUUGCCGACUUGUGUACGUGAAAUCCGUUGCUAUCACUCUUGGAAACGAAGAGCGUUUAAGUGGAAUUAUGUUCGUGUCAGGCUGACAGCAAGACAUUUCAGUAGUUUCAAUUUUACUGUUAAGUGCCAUAAGACCUGUCUACUUCGUGUAGAUAAUACAAGACAAUUUCAAUUUACUGUCUCACUUCAGAACUGCCUGAAUUGUAAAUAAAUGUGUAUACAUAAUA